UACGUAGGGUGCAAGCGUUGUCCGGAAUUAUUGGGCGUAAAGAGCUCGUAGGCGGUCUGUCGCGUCGGCUGUGAAAACCCGAGGCUCAACCUCGGGCCUGCAGUCGAUACGGGCAAACUAGAGUACUGCAGGGGAGACUGGAAUUCCUGGUGUAGCGGUGAAAUGCGCAGAUAUCGGGAAGAACACCCGUGGCGAAGGCGGUUCUCUGGGACGGUACUGACGCUGAGACGCGAAAGCGUGGGGAGCAAACAGG
rnacentral:rRNA from 1 species